UUUAUGUUUUUUAUUAAUAAUUUCGAGAAAAAUUAGAAUCUUGCGCUCUAAUUAAUCGCCGCAGAAAGAUAUCGUCGCAAUGUGAAAACCUGUAGAGAAGGCAAAAAACUUUCGUGAAAAAAAGGUCCACCAAGGGUUUGGUAUUGCAAUAGUCGGAACUCUUCCACACGGCCGGUAUGGAUAGAUAAAGAAGGAGAAAGCAGCGAAGGUCCCGGAAGAGCACGGAAGAUGCAAAGUUUCUUCCACCGAAUCUGCUUCGGCAAACAUCAGAUCGUCAAACCUCUCUGUCCAGAGUUGCAGCGAUGGUGUGUCGACCGGGAACCUGUCGGUAGGAAGCUGAACGGGUUGAAUUUGUGUAACGGAACGUCCAGCCGUGGAACAGUGACGACGACUCUGACCACCAGAUCCACUAUGCAAACUUCUCAACUGAACCUAAAGUCGGGCAAUUGUGUGACAUCACCGUCCAGCUGCUGAUGACAACGUAACGGCUCCCGGUCUCAAACUCCACCGUUGAGCUAAGCAUCCUCGCAGUCAAACUCCUCCUGCAACAACCCGCCCACCAGCAGCAGCAGCAGCAAGAUUGUAUU